AUGGCACAGGACAGGCUGCAAUACCAUAACUAUGAUGAAACCACUGGCCUCAGGAACCAAAGCAGGGGAAGACUCACCACCAUCCCAGGAGAGAAACAGAAACCAAAAAGCUUCCUGAACUUUUUAUUGCCUUCUCACUUACACAGAAUCCCAGAAUCACUGAAAGUUGAAAAAGACCUCCAAAGUCAUCAAGUCCAACCUUUGACUGAUCCCCACCUUGUUAAAAAGGCAAGAGCACUGAGUACCAUGUCCAGUCCUUCUUCGGACACCUCUGGGUAUGGGGACUCUACCACCUUCCUGUGCAGCCCUUUCCAGUUCCUGACCACCCUUUCCAUGAAGAAAUUCCUCCUGAUGUCCAACCUAACACCAAGCAGAGAGGCAUCCCAAGCCAGCUUUCAAUGCCUUUUUUUCUGAAGAAGCCUUCUAAAAAGUUUGCUUUUCAGUAGAUACUAGGUCUGCAAUCAAAUGGAGGCCCAUGGGUUUUUUGUAAGAACAAGUGCUCACUUGAAGUAGGAUAUCUGCCAGGAUAUUUGCAUAGGAUUAAACAGGAAACUAAUGCAAGACAAGUUUAGUGAUUUAAAGAGUCUGAUCUCUGGCAAUAGUCUGUGUCUUCUUGCUGAGUUUACUCAUUUCUCACUAAAACUCCUCAUUAUUUCACUUAGAAUAAGGUUGUAUCCAUGGGUUAUCUUACUCGAUGAUAAUUUAGUCCAUACUAAAUUAUUCAGUUCUCAGUCUUAUUUGACAUAUAUAAACAAGAUAUACAUAAAUGAGAAACUUCAGACACAAUUCAGCCCACCAAAUACAUGAUAUUGAGGCCACAUUAAUAACUAGAUAAAAAACUUGAUUUUCUUCACCAAAAUCUGAUCAAUUUUUACUAAUAUUUUUAUUAACAUUAGGAACAAAACACUUCUCCAAAGUAGUCUGAACUUCAUAUGUUGUUACAGCCUGAACACACUAACUCGUAAACAGGUUUAUAAACACGUUCUGUAAUUCAUUAAAUUACAUUAGGCUAGAAAUCCCUGGGGUCAGAAUAAGAAAAGAGUAGAGAGGACUGCCUAGCUGAAAAGCAGUGAAAACCGGCACACUUGUAUAAUGCCUGUUUCUGUAAUAAAAUUUUCUUGUAAACUCUGUUGCUUACA
rnacentral:lncRNA from 1 species